UGGUGCAGGUGAUGGAGAAGGCGAAGACAAUGCUCAUCAGUGAUACCGGAUGAGAGCCCCAUCCUCUCUUAGGUCCUCUUGAGAAUCUACCAGUGGUUCAGAUUGCUGCUGGCCGUUGCUAUCUUGCAGCACUUGCUUUUCACUUGCUGGCCAUUCUUUCACACUUAUCUUUCUAUUUGGUAUGCUUGUAAAGAGCUGAUAUAUUUCUUCUAUGUUAUUAUAU
rnacentral:lncRNA from 1 species